UAAACUAGGAUUAGAUACCCUAUUAUUUUAUUUAUAAAUUAUUACCUGGAUAAUAAUAGUUAUGUUCUUUAAAUCUAAAGAAUUUGGCGGUGUUUUAUUCUUUUUAGAGGAAUUUGCCCUUUAAUCGAUAGUCCUCGUUUUAUCUAGCUUUAUUUAUUGAUAGUAUGUAUACCGCCGUUAUAAGUUUAUUUUAUUAGAAUUAAAAAUUUACAUUAUAUUUAAUUUUAUAUUAUUUCAGGUCAAGGUGCAGCUUAUAAUUAAGUUGAGGUGAAUUACAAUAUUAUUUGAUUAAUACGGAUUUAUAUUUUAAAAAUAUAUUGAAGGUGGAUUUAAUAGUAAUUUAAAUAAUAAUAUUUUUAUGAUUUUAGCUCUAAAAUAAGUACACAUCG
rnacentral:rRNA from 1 species